rnacentral:rRNA from 1 species
GGUUAAGCUAGUAAGAGCGCACGGAGGAUGCCUAGGCACUAGGAGCCGAAGAAGGACGUGGCGAACAACGAAAUUGCCUCGGGGAGCCGUAAGCAGGCUUUGAUCCGGGGAUGUCCGAAUGGGGAAACCCGGCUGGAGUAAUGUCCAGUCACCUGUUACUGAAUACAUAGGUAACAUGGAGGCAUACCAGGGGAACUGAAACAUCUAAGUACCCUGAGGAAGAGAAAACAAUAGUGAUUCCGUCAGUAGCGGCGAGCGAACGCGGAUUAGCCCAAACCAAGGAGCUUGCUCCUUGGGGUUGUAGGACGUCUCACAUGGAGUUACAAAGGUGUUGGUUAGGCGAAGAGGUCUGGAAAGGCCCGCUAGAAAAGGUAAAAGCCCUGUAACCAAAAGCCAACACCCUCCGAGACGGAUCCUGAGUACGGCGGGACACGUGAAACCCCGUCGGAAUCCGGCAGGACCAUCUGCCAAGGCUAAAUACUCCCUAGUGACCGAUAGCGAAGCAGUACCGUGAGGGAAAGGUGAAAAGCACCCCGGAAGGGGAGUGAAACAGAACCUGAAACCGUGCGCUUACAAGAAGUCAGAGCCCUCUAUAUGGGUGAUGGCGUGCCUUUUGUAGAAUGAACCGGCGAGUUACGUUCACGUGCAAGGUUAAGGUGGAAAGCCGUAGCCGCAGCGAAAGCGAGUCUGAAUAGGGCGAAUGAGUACGUGGUCGUAGACCCGAAACCGUGUGAUCUACCCCUGUGCAGGGUGAAGGUGCGGUAACACGCACUGGAGGCCCGAACCCACGAAUGUUGA